AUAAGAAACAGAAUAAAAGCAAACGAAACAGAGAAGAAACAGGGGAGAAAGAAAGAAAGAAAAAGAAAAAGGAAAAUUUGGGUUUCAAGGCUCAAAGUUUAAUUUGUCAAUGGUGGUACCAGAAAUCUUGGCUAAAAAAGGACAAGACAAAGUCAACGGGAGUUAGCUCGAAAAUUACGGUUUAGUAAAGAUAGAACGUUGAAUCAGCAUCCCAGUUCGAUCCCGAAUUCAUUAAGGUAAAGUGUGUUAAUUAUUGGUAAUGGCAUGUACCUAGGACGUUUUAUGAGAGUCAUUUAGGUUGUAGAUAUACUCAUGAAAUGAGUAAAUUAUGGUUGGCAACGGUAUGUAGUAUGAAUUUGAAAUUUACUAAAAAUUCGUAGUGAUUCUAAAUUA